CCAGUGGUAUAUGCUUGUCUCAAAGAUUAAGCCAUGCAUGUCUAAGUAUGAGGAAUAAAUAAGACGAAACUGCGAAUGGCUCGGUAAAACAGCAAUAAUUUCUUCGGUCUUUUUACUACUCGGAUAACCGUAGUAAUUCUAGAGCUAAUACGUGCUAAUGGCGGGGCAACUCGUCGUGCCGAUKAGAUAACAACACCAACUCUYGGUGAUUCAUAAUCGUCUUUCAGAUCGUUACUUGUAACGACAGACCGUUCAAAUUUCUGACCUAUCAACUUUCGAUGGUAGGGUAGUGUCCUACCAUGGUGGUGACGGGUAACGGACCGUGGGUGCGGGACUCCGGAGAGGGAGCCUGAGAAACGGCUACCACAUCCAAGGAAGGCAGCAGGCGCGCAAAUUAUCCAAUCCAGACACUGGGAGAUAGUGACAAGAAAUAUCAAUAGGGGAUCCNCAUGGAUCUUCUAAUUGGAAUGAGAACAAGCUAAACAGCUUAUCGAGAAUCCAGCAUAGGGCAAGUCUGGUG
rnacentral:rRNA from 1 species